GAUGAACGCUGGCGGCGUGCCUAAUACAUGCAAGUCGAGCGAACAGACGAGGAGCUUGCUCCUCUGACGUUAGUGGCGGACGGGUGAGUAACACGUGGAUAACCUACCUAUAAGACUGGGAUAACUUCGGGAAACCGGAGCUAAUACCGGAUAAUAUAUUGAACCGCAUGGUUCAAUAGUGAAAGACGGUUUUGCUGUCACUUAUAGAUGGAUCCGCGCCGCAUUAGCUAGUUGGUAAGGUAACGGCUUACCAAGGCAACGAUGCGUAGACGACCUGAGAGGGUGAUCGGCCACACUGGAACUGAGACACGGUCCAGACUCCUACGGGAGGCAGCAGUAGGGAAUCUUCCGCAAUGGGCGAAAGCCUGACGGAGCAACGCCGCGUGAGUGAUGAAGGUCUUCGGAUCGUAAAACUCUGUUAUUAGGGAAGAACAAAUGUGUAAGUAACUAUGCACGUCUUGACGGUACCUAAUCAGAAAGCCACGGCUAACUACGUG
rnacentral:rRNA from 1 species